rnacentral:rRNA from 1 species
GACGAACGCUGGCGGCGUGCCUAAUACAUGCAAGUAGGACGCUGAAGGAGGAGCUUACUUCUCUGGAUGAGUUGCGAACGGGUGAGUAACGCGUAGGUAACCUGCCUGGUAGCGGGGGAUAACUAUUGGAAACGAUAGCUAAUACCGCAUAAGAGUAGAUGUUGCAUGACAUUUACUUAAAAGGUGCAAUUACACCACUACCAGAUGGACCUGCGUUGUAUUAGCUAGUUGGUGGGGUAACGGCUUACCAAGGCGACGAUACAUAGCCGACCUGGGAGGGUGAUCGGCCACACUGGGACUGAGACACGGCCCAGACUCCUACGGGAGGCAGCAGUAGGGAAUCUUCGGCAAUGGACGGAAGUCUGACCGAGCAACGCCGCGUGAGUGAAGAAGGUUUUCGGAUCGUAAAGCUCUGUUGUAAGAGAAGAACGAGUGUGAGAGUGGAAAGUUCACACUGUGACGGUAUCUUACCAGAAAGGGACGGCUAACUACGUGCCAGCCGCCGCAGUAA